GACGUAGGGUGCAAGCGUUAUCCGGAUUUACUGGGCGUAAAGAGCGCGUAGGCGGAUCGUUAAGUGUAGAGUGAAAUCUUCGGGCUCAACCCGAAAACUGCUCUGCAUACUGGCGAUCUUGAGGGGCACAGAGGCAAUUGGAAUUUCUGGUGAAGCGGUGAAAUGCGUAGAUAUCAGAAGGAACUCCUAUGGCGAAGGCAGAUUGCUGGGUGCCAUCUGACGUGAGGCGCGAAAGCGUGGGUAGCAAACAGG
rnacentral:rRNA from 1 species